UGUUCGUGAGUCUCUCAAAUUUUCGCAACACGAUGAUGAAUCGCAAGAAACAUCUUCGGGUUGUGAGGUUAAGCGACUAAGCGUACACGGUGGAUGCCCUGGCAGUCAGAGGCGAUGAAGGACGUGCUAAUCUGCGAUAAGCGUCGGUAAGGUGAUAUGAACCGUUAUAACCGGCGAUUUCCGAAUGGGGAAACCCAGUGUGAUUCGUCACACUAUCAUUAACUGAAUCCAUAGGUUAAUGAGGCGAACCGGGGGAACUGAAACAUCUAAGUACCCCGAGGAAAAGAAAUCAACCGAGAUUCCCCCAGUAGCGGCGAGCGAACGGGGAGCAGCCCAGAGCCUGAAUCAGUGUGUGUGUUAGUGGAAGCGUCUGG
rnacentral:rRNA from 1 species